AUUGAACGCUGGCGGCAGGCCUAACACAUGCAAGUCGAGCGGAUGAAGGGAGCUUGCUCCUGGAUUCAGCGGCGGACGGGUGAGUGAUGCAUAGGAAUCUGCCUGGUCGUGGGGGAUAACGUCCGGAAACGGGCGCUAAUACCGCAUACGUCCUGAGGGAGAAAGUGGGGGAUCUUCGGACCUCACGCUAUCAGAUGAGCCUAGGUCGGAUUAGCUAGUUGGUGGGGUAAAGGCCUACCAAGGCGACGAUCCGUAACUGGUCUGAGAGGAUGAUCAGUCACACUGGAACUGAGACACGGUCCAGACUCCUACGGGAGGCAGCAGUGGGGAAUAUUGGACAAUGGGCGAAAGCCUGAUCCAGCCAUGCCGCGUGUGUGAAGAAGGUCUUCGGAUUGUAAAGCACUUUAAGUUGGGAGGAAGGGCAGUAAGUUAAUCCCUUGCUGUUUUGACGUUACCAACAGAAUAAGCACCGGCUAACUUCGUG
rnacentral:rRNA from 1 species